UGCUAUACAUGCAGUCGAACGAACUCUGGUAUUGAUUGGUGCUUGCAUCAUGAUUUACAUUUGAGUGAGUGGCGAACUGGUGAGUAACACGUGGGAAACCUGCCCAGAAGCGGGGGAUAACACCUGGAAACAGAUGCUAAUACCGCAUAACAACUUGGACCGCAUGGUCCGAGUUUGAAAGAUGGCUUCGGCUAUCACUUUUGGAUGGUCCCGCGGCGUAUUAGCUAGAUGGUGGGGUAACGGCUCACCAUGGCAAUGAUACGUAGCCGACCUGAGAGGGUAAUCGGCCACAUUGGGACUGAGACACGGCCCAAACUCCUACGGGAGGCAGCAGUAGGGAAUCUUCCACAAUGGACGAAAGUCUGAUGGAGCAACGCCGCGUGAGUGAAGAAGGGUUUCGGCUCGUAAAACUCUGUUGUUAAAGAAGAACAUAUCUGAGAGUAACUGUUCAGGUAUUGACGGUAUUUAACCAGAAAGCCACGGCUAACUACGUGCCAGCAGCCGCGGUAAUACGUAGGUGGCAAGCGUUGUCCGGAUUUAUUGGGCGUAAAGCGAGCGCAGGCGGUUUUUUAAGUCUGAUGUGAAAGCCUUCGGCUCAACCGAAGAAGUGCAUCGGAAACUGGGAAACUUGAGUGCAGAAGAGGACAGUGGAACUCCAUGUGUAGCGGUGAAAUGCGUAGAUAUAUGGAAGAACACCAGUGGCGAAGGCGGCUGUCUGGUCUGUAACUGACGCUGAGGCUCGAAAGUAUGGGUAGCAAACAGGAUUAGAUACCCUGGUAGUCCAUACCGUAAACGAUGAAUGCUAAGUGUUGGAGGGUUUCCGCCCUUCAGUGCUGCAGCUAACGCAUUAAGCAUUCCGCCUGGGGAGUACGGCCGCAAGGCUGAAACUCAAAGGAAUUGACGGGGGCCCGCACAAGCGGUGGAGCAUGUGGUUUAAUUCGAAGCUACGCGAAGAACCUUACCAGGUCUUGACAUACUAUGCAAAUCUAAGAGAUUAGACGUUCCCUUCGGGGACAUGGAUACAGGUGGUGCAUGGUUGUCGUCAGCUCGUGUCGUGAGAUGUUGGGGUUAAGUCCCGCAACGAGCGCAACCCUUAUUAUCAGUUGCCAGCAUUAAGUUGGGCACUCUGGGUGAGACUGCCGGUGACAAACCGGAAGAAAAGGGGGGGGAUGAAGUUCAAAUCAUCAUGGCCCUUUAUGACCUGGGGCUACACCC
rnacentral:rRNA from 2 species